rnacentral:lncRNA from 1 species
UAAGAUUUUAGCCAGAGAGACAGUAGAAAGUAUAAGGUAUGUCAAUAAGUGAAUGCUUAGCAAGCAAACAGGGCAAAGAGACCUAGAGAGUUUAGGGAAAAGUCGAAGUGAACUUCACUGAGAUAAAACCAGAAAAAUAUAAUCACAAGUAUCUCCUAGUGCUUGUAGAUACUUUUUCAGGAAUAGAUAGAAGCUUUCCUCACCAAAUGAGAGACGGCCUCUGCAAUCAUCAAGAAGAUACUGGAAGAAAUCUUCCCCGGAUUUGGAAUGCCCAAGGUAAUCUGGCCAGACAAAGGCCCUACUUUCGUUGCCAAGGUAAGCCAGGGUGUGGCCAAGUAUUUAGAGGUCAAUUGGAAAUUACAUUGUAUUUACAGACCUCAAAGUUCAGGACAGGUAGAGUAAAUAAAUAAAAUUUUAAAAGAGACCCUGACCAAAUUAAAUUAACCAUGGAGACUGGCACAGACUGGGUGACACUCCUUCCCUCUUGCUCUCUUCAGAGCAAGAAAUACCCCUUCCAGAUUCAGCCUUACCCCCUUUGAGAUCUUAUAUGGGGCCUCAGCCCCCCUGACUGUAUUAGAUGAUGUUACUGAACCAACAUGUCAUAGUGCCAUAGUAAUAAUGAUUUGUGUGCCAGGCUAAAAGACCUACAGGUGAUACAGAAAGAAAUCUGCUCACAGCUGACAGCAGUCUAUGCCCCGGAGACCCCUGAGACAUCCCAUCAGUUCCAGGUCGGAGAUUGCAGCUACACUGAGCCCAGACACUCGAGCCUCGCUGGAAAGGACCGUACCUGGUGCUGCUGACCACCCUGACAGCUGUCAAUUCUCAGCCCUCACCAGCCGCGUACUAGCUGUUGGGGCUGAGAGCUGGGACCUAGAGGGAAAUUCAGUCAUGUUUGUCCUGGGUUCUAUCAAGAUAGGUGUGGGAUAGGCUUGAUUUCCAUUACAAAAGAUGUAACAUUGCAUAUGUUAGUACUCUUAACACUUCUUGGGACUGUGCCUCAGGGAUCACAGUCCGUAUAAGCUUAGAAGUUCUAAAAGCUAGUCAUGACCUUGGUGGAUAGGCUUGGAUAGUGUCCAGGUUAGAAUCCUCAUGUUAAGACUACAAUACCAAGCUGUUAUGCUAGAUGAAGCUGAGUUCUCCAUGAAGUUCUAGGAUUAGAACUAUUAACAAAAAAAAAGAAGUGGGGAAUGUAGAACUAGAGUUUCAUAAAGGUUGCUCAUUGUCAGAGUCCAGAUGUGCAGGGCGGGACGUGCCUGAGGGAGAGCCAGAGAUAGGACUUGCCAAACCAGCUAUCAGCCCCAAGGACACUGACCAUCCUUCCUUCCCCAAGGACACCCUCCCCUUCCUUCACCCCCCUGAGUGAGAUGAGCCACCCUACCUGCCUGCCGAGCUGCUGGAGAGCACGUACUCCUUGCUGAUGUAAUUUCGCGCCGAAAGUAACUGUGCACCAUUUGAAUUGACCAGUCAUGUGCAACCGCGUGAAUGCCCCUUACCUCCCCUAUAUAAACCCCCGAGUCUGGAGGCUCGGGGUCGAUUCCUCUGUCUCCUGUGUGAGAUACGUGUCGACCCGGGAUCCCGCUAAGACCUGGGAUCUCGUUAAUAAAGCUACCUCUUGCUGUUACAUC